CACGUAGGGUGCGAGCGUUGUCCGGAAUUACUGGGCGUAAAGGGCUCGUAGGCGGCCAACUAAGUCAGACGUGAAAUCCCCUCGGCUUAACCGGGGACUGCGUCUGAUACUGGAUUGGCUUGAGUUUGGGAGAGGGAUGCGGAAUUCCAAGGUGUAGCGGUGAAAUGCGUAGAUAUCUGGAGGAACACCGGUGGCGAAGGCGGCAUCCUGGACCGGUAUUGACGCUGAGGGCGCGAAAAGCCAGGGGGAGCAAACGGG
rnacentral:rRNA from 1 species